UACGGAGGAGGCAAGCGUUAUCCGGAAUUAUUGGGCGUAAAGCGUCCGUAGGUGGUUUAGUAAGUCUGCUGUUAAAGCGCGGGGCUUAACUCCGUAUCGGCAGUGGAAACUACUAGACUAGAGUGUGGUAGGGGUAGAGGGAAUUCCCAGUGUAGCGGUGAAAUGCGUAGAUAUUGGGAAGAACACCGGUGGCGAAGGCGGGUCUCUGGACAGUUCCUGACGCUGAGGCACGAAGGUCAGGGGAGCAAACGGG
rnacentral:rRNA from 1 species